GUGCCAGCAGCCGCGGUAAUACAGAGGUCUCAAGCGUUGUUCGGAAUUACUGGGCGUAAAGGGUGCGCAGGCCGCGCGGGCAGUCAAAUGUGUAAUUCAGGGGCUCAACCCCUGCACUGCGCUUGAUACUUCCGCGCUCGAACCUUGGAGAGGAGUCUGGAAUUCUCGGUGUAGCAGUGAAAUGCGUGGAUAUCGAGAAGAACACUUAGGGCGAAAGCAAGACUCUGGACAAGUGUUGACGCUCAUGCACGAAGGCUAGGGUAGCGAACGGGAUUAGAUACCCCGGUAGUCC
rnacentral:rRNA from 1 species